GGCUGGUGUUGAGAGGCGGAGACUUGGGCAAUUGCCGGCCAUCACAGAGGGCAUUGCACUUGUCUCGGUCUGACAGUGCCGGCA
rfam:Tetraodon nigroviridis, WGS project CAAE01000000 data, contig: CNS0BZ36, chromosome: 1